CAGACCCAGCACUCUGUGUCUAUUCAGCAGCCACAAGACAGAUGCCAGAUGUGCAGCUGCUGCUCCUAAAAGUGCUCCAAGACCAGAGCUCACAGGCAGCCCAGGAACAUGAGAAGCAGCCUACAGUGCUGCCAUUCCCCCUGUUGCAGCCCUUUGCUCAUGUCAAGGACAUUCACACCACUUC